rnacentral:lncRNA from 1 species
AUUUUGCCUAAGUUAGUUAGCGACAGUUUCUGCUUCUUAAAAAAAGUGACCCAGUGGAUGACCUCAAUAUGCAUAUAUGAGACAACUUCUGUCUAUGGGUUCUUCCUCAAAUUACUAGACUUAUCAUCCUGGUAAUGUUUUUUCUCCAACAGAAAAACAAUAAGUGUGUGCAAUUUUCAAGAAUAAAGUGAGAUUUAGAAAACUAGUGGUUUAUCCAUAUGUAAUGGAGUCUGCACAUGUCAGGAAAAGGCAAAGUUUUCCACACAUAUCUCUGAUUUCCAAACAGAAGUAAGAUGAAUAUCAAGUUUGCAGUCUUGAACAGAAGCCACUUAUUCAGAGACAGUGUGAGAGAAUGAAGCCAAGAGAGUGAAGCAGAUAUUCUACAGGGAGGACCUAGUCGCAGUAAGUUCCUUGUUCUGGGAAACCCACCUUGGAAAUGGGAAGGCUGUCAAGAGAAGCUUCAGCGAAUCACAGUGGGAGUCUGAGGAAGAUGUGUCUAGACAUUAGAUGCCAUCUCUAACACCUCUACCUCCUGAUGUCGCUGCUUUUUCCACAAGAAUGAAUUCUCAAUUGUCAAUUUCUUUGCCUCACUUAUCCAAA